rnacentral:rRNA from 1 species
AGAAUUGAUCUGGUCAGGAUGAACGCUGGCGGCGUAGCCUAACACAUGCAAGUCGAACGGAGUUAUAUAUGAAGUUUCGGAUGGAUUAAUAAUAACUUAGUGGCGGACGGGUGAGUAACGCGUGGGUAACCUGCCUCAUACAGGGGGAUAACAGCUGGAAACGGCUGCUAAAACCGCAUAACACUGCACUGUCGCAUGGACGGAGCAGUUAAAUAUUUAUAGGGUAUGAGAUCGGGGCCCGCGUCUGAUUAGCUAGUUGGUGAGGUAAUGGCUCACCAAGGCGACGAUCAGUAGCCGGCUUGAGAGAGUGACCGGCCACAUUGGGACUGAGACACGGCCCAAACUCCUACGGGAGGCAGCAGUGGGGAAUAUUGCACAAUGGGGGGAAACCCUGAUGCAAGCGACGCCGCGUGAGUGAAGAAGUAUUUCGGUAUGUAAAGCUCUAUCAGCAGGGAAGAAAAUGACGGUACCUGACUAAGAAGCCCCGGCUAACUACGUGCCAGCCGCUGC